GAUGAACGCUGGCGGCGUGCCUAAUACAUGCAAGUCGAGCGAACAGACGAGGAGCUUGCUCCUCUGACGUUAGCGGCGGACGGGUGAGUAACACGUGGAUAACCUACCUAUAAGACUGGGAUAACUUCGGGAAACCGGAGCUAAUACCGGAUAAUAUAUUGAACCGCAUGGUUCAAUAGUGAAAGACGGCUUUGCUGUCACUUAUAGCUGGAUCCGCGCCGCAUUAGCUAGUUGGUAAGGUAACGGCUUACCAAGGCAACGAUGCGUAGCCGACCUGAGAGGGUGAUCGGCCACACUGGAACUGAGACACGGUCCAGACUCCUACAGGAGGCAGCAGUAGGGAAUCUUCCGCAAUGGGCGAAAGCCUGACGGAGCAACGCCGCGUGAGUGAUGAAGGUCUUCGGAUCGUAAAACUCUGUUAUUAGGGAAGAACAAAUGUGUAAGUAACUAUGCACGUCUUGACGGUACCUAAUCAGAAAGCCACGGCUAACUACGUG
rnacentral:rRNA from 1 species